rnacentral:rRNA from 1 species
GAAUAUUGGACAAUGGGCGAAAGCCUGAUCCAGCCAUGCCGCGUGUGUGAAGUAGGUCUUCGGAUGGUAAAGCUUUUUACUUAGGGCGGCCGGGUUGUAGAUCAAUCCUCUGUAAUUUUGACGUUACCGACAGUAUAAGCAUCGGCUAUCUUCGUGCCAGCUGCCGCGGUAGUACGGAGGGUGCAAACGUUAAUCGGAAUUACUGGGCGUCAGGCGCGCGUAGGUGGGUUGUUAAGUUGGAAGUAAAGGCCCCGGGCUCAACCUGGGAACUGCUUUCAAAACUGGCAAGCUAGAGUAUGGCAGAGGGUGGUGGAAUUUCCUGUGUAGCGGUGAAAUGCGUAGAUAUAGGAAGGAACACCAGUGGCGAAGGCGACCGCCUGGGCUAAUACUGACACUGAGGUGCGAAAGCGUGGGGAGCAAA